AAGGUUGACCUCGGAUCAGGUAGGGAUACCCGCUGAACUUAAGCAUAUCAAUAAGCGGAGGAAAAGAAACCAACAGGGAUUGCCUUAGUAACGGCGAGUGAAGCGGCAACAGCUCAAAUUUGAAAGCUGGCUCCUUCGGAGUCCGCGUUGUAAUUUGUAGAGGAUGAUUCGGCGAGGGCUCCCGCCUAAGUCCCCUGGAACGGGGCGUCAUAGAGGGUGAGAAUCCCGUAUGCGGUGGGUUGCCUUAGCCAUGUGAAUCUCCUUCGACGAGUCGAGUUGUUUGGGAAUGCAGCUCUAAAUGGGAGGUAAAUUUCUUCUAAAGCUAAAUACCGGCCAGAGACCGAUAGCGCACAAGUAGAGUGAUCGAAAGAUGAAAAGCACUUUGGAAAGAGAGUUAAAAAGUACGUGAAAUUGUUGAAAGGGAAGCGCUUGCAGCCAGACUUGUCCGCAGUUGCUCAACCGGUCUCCUGACCGGUGUACUCAUCUGCGGCCAGGCCAGCAUCAGUUCGGGCGGUCGGAUAAAGGCCCUGGGAAUGUAGCUCCUCUCGGGGAGUGUUAUAGCCCAGGGUGGAAUGCGGCCAGCCUGGACUGAGGAUCUCGCUUCGGCUAGGAUGCUGGCGUAAUGGCUGUAAGCGGCCCGUCUUGAAACACGGACCAAGGAGUCUAACAUCUAUGCGAGUGUUUGGGUGUCAAACCCAUGCGCGUAAUGAAAGUGAACGGAGGUGGGAACCCUCACGGGUGCACCAUCGACCGAUCCUGAUGUCUUCGGAUGGAUUUGAGUAAGAGCAUAGCUGUUGGGACCCGAAAGAUGGUGAACUAUGCCUGAAUAGGGUGAAGCCAGAGGAAACUCUGGUGGAGGCUCGCAGCGGUUCUGACGUGCAAAUCGAUCGUCAAAUUUGGGUAUAGGGGCGAAAGACAAUCGAACC
rnacentral:rRNA from 1 species